rnacentral:lncRNA from 1 species
GUAGGUCGCUCUGGUGCAGUGGACAGAGAGUGUGGGCCUCACGCUGGUCAGCAGGGACCUCACCUCCAUGCAGCUGAAGACCCCCAGUGGCCAGGUCCUCAGCUUCUGCAUUCUGCAGCUGUUUCCCUUCACCUCCGAGAGCAAGCGGAUGGGCGUCAUCGUCAGGGAUGAAUCCACGGCAGAAAUCACAUUCUACAUGAAGGGCGCUGACGUGGCCAUGUCUCCUAUCGUGCAGUAUAAUGACUGGCUGGAAGA